AGGGUAAUAUUUUAAGUUAUGAAAUAAUCCCUUUCUCACAGUCUUAUGAGCCAUUUUUUUCUUUUUUUACAAAUGUGAAAAGCUUUCUCUCCCUUCUCCACCAUUAUUGAAGAUUAAGAUUUCUAAAAAAAUCAAGGUAAAUAAUCAAUAUCUCCUCUCAAUCUCUCCUCUUUGCUUGACUUUUCAUAGUUAUCUUCUUAUUUUUGAUCUUAAUUAUCAUUUGAAAACCUGUUCAACUGCUCGUAAAUGAGUUUUGAAAUUUUCAAGGUGUUUCGAAAUCAAAAAUUUUCAACUACGAUGAACUUAUAUCAAUCAACUACGAUGUGCAAAUGAAUUUCGAAAUCGCCAUCUUAAAAAUAAAAUCUGAUCUCCACCGCCUGCACAUGUUAUUUGACUAUCCAUUUAGUCAUGGCCCUAAUGUUUGAUUAUUAUUAGUUUAUUGCUAGUGGAAUUGUCAAUGUGUAUUUAGGUUAGGUUACUUAUGUUUGAUUAUUAUUAUUAGUUUAUUGAUAAUGGAAUUGUCAACUUGUAUUUAGGUUAGGUUUACUUUGAUUUUUUAGUGAUGAAUAGCCAAAAACAAUCAAUAUUCUUAGAUUUACGUAGUUAAACUUGAAAUCAAUUUAUAUAAUAAUGAUAUGGCUAUUGUACAAGUCUGAUUGUUGUGAAAUCAAUUUCUAUAAUUUGUGUUAGCAUUCAUUUCCUAGUGUUCAUUUAAUAUUUAUUGAUUUUUGUCAAUUUUCUAAGUAUAUAAUUUUAUGCAGUCAUGCCUCGUUUGCCGCUCUCAAAACGCCAAAAGGCUAUUGUUUCACUUAUUUAUUUUAUUAGAUUAAGGGAUGUAAUGAUGAAGUUUAUAUUUCUUACCUAAUGACUUUUCUUGAAUUACUUAAAAUUCUGAAAAAAAUAAAUGCUCAUUCCGCCCAAAGAAGCUUAAUACUAGGUAUGAGAAAUGUUAAUGAGUUUCUUAGAGAUGAAAUAAGUUGUUUUGACCAACUUAGGAUGGAUAGAGUACUUUUCACAAGUUAUGUGAUUUGCUUAAAAAUCAUGGUGGUUCAAAGGACCCAAGAAAUAUGUUUGUGGAAGAGAAAUUGCAAUAUUUUUAAACAUAUUGGGCCAUGAUCAAAAGUAAAGGUUGAUUGUUAGACGUUUGAGAAGAACAAAAGAGACGAUUGAUAGGAACUUUCGACAAAUACUAAGGUGUGUUUUGCGAUUGCACAACAUCCUAUUGAAAACUCUUGAGCCUAUCCCCGAGAAUAGCAAUGAUGAGAGAUGGAAGUGGUUUAAGAAUUGUCUUGGGGCUUUAGACGGAACAUUCAUUAACCUAAAAGUUUGAGAGGUUGACAAGCCUCGGUACCGAACAAGAAAAGGUGACAUUUCAACUAAUGUAUUGGCAGCUUGUUCGGUAGAUAUGGAGUUUACCUAUGUUUUACCAGGUUGGGAAGGCUCAACGGCUGAUAAUAGAAUCCUAAAGGAUCCUUUUAAGAACUCAUCCAAUUAGGAUUUCUCGUGGAACUUAUUACUUAGUUGAUGCUGGAUAUACAAAUGGAGAAGGCUUUUUGGCCCUAUAUAGAGGUCAAAGGUAUCAUUUAAAAGAAUGGAAAGAUGGUUACAAACUAAGAACAUCACAAGAGUAUUUCAACAUGAAACACUCGGCAACGAGAAAUGUAAUUGAAAGGUGCUUUGGUUUGUUAAAGAUGAGAUGGGCAACACUUCGCAAAUCUAGCUUUUAUGAAGCUGAAACACAUGCCAAUAUUAUAUCUGCAUGUUAUCUUCUCCAAAAUCUUACUUGUAGAGAAAUGAAGUUUGAUCCACUUGAGCCUUUGUUAGAUACUGAUUAUGGAUGACAAUUGAUGAAUACUGAUGAUGAUAGCGACAAUAUCGAUGUAGUUGAAUCAUCUAUUGCUCGGACUCUUUGGAGAGACAAUCUUGCUCGUCAAAUGUUUAAUAAUUGGAGGCUUCGUAGGGGAGCUGAAUCAACUAGAAUUUGAUUAUGUUUCAUGUUAUUGCAAAAUUGUAUUAUGAAUGUAACGUGAACUUCUGAUACUAUAAAACUUUUGAUAUAAUGUGUUUUUUUUAAUGAGCUAUGUUUUAAUGAUAUUGCAUUAUCUUUAUUUUAUGGCAUGUUGUAUAACGAGCUUGCUAUUUGAA